GAUGAAGAACGUAGCGAAAUGCGAUAAGUAAUGUGAAUUGCAGAAUUCAGUGAAUCAUCGAAUCUUUGAACGCACAUUGCGCCCUUUGGUAUUCCUUAGGGCAUGCCUGUUCGAGCGUCAUUUAAACCUUCAAGCUCAGCUUGGUGUUGGGUGACUGUCCGCUUCACCGCGGACUCGCCUCAAAAUUAUUGGCGGCCGGUACAUUGGCUUCGAGCGCAGCAGAAACGCGAACUCGGGCCCGUCGUAUUGGCUCCCAGAAGCUAUCUUCACAAUUUUGACCUCGGAUCAGGUAGGGAUACCCGCUGAACUUAAGCAUAUCAAUAAGCGGAAGA
rnacentral:misc_RNA from 1 species